UACGUAGGGUGCGAGCGUUGUCCGGAAUUAUUGGGCGUAAAGAGCUCGUAGGCGGCUCAUUGAGUCAACCGUGAAAACCUGCCGCUCAACGGUAGGCUUGCGGUUGAUACGGGUGGGCUGGAGUUCGGUAGGGGAGACUGGAAUUCCUGGUGUAGCGGUGAAAUGCGCAGAUAUCAGGAGGAACACCGGUGGCGAAGGCGGUUCGCUGGGCCGAUACUGACGCUGAGGAGCGAAAGCGUGGGGAGCGAACAGG
rnacentral:rRNA from 1 species